UCAAUCCUUUGAGACAUAGCUUCGGCAGAUUGCUUAGCUCCAUUCAUCUUCGGAGCAAGAGCCCUCGUUCAGUGAGCUAUUACGCACUCUUUCAAGGGUGGCUGCAUCUACGCAAACCUCCUGGCUAACAAGAAAGAAUUUAUUGCUCCUUUAUUUUCUUUUUCUUUUUUUCAAUAACUCCUAUACACUAAGAUCGGGUCUUAUCCAUUUGUAAAUGGAACUUCGAUAGAAGCUAGGUCUAGAGGGAAGUUAUGAAUACUCAUUGAAUGAG
rnacentral:lncRNA from 1 species